GAGAAGGUGGAGGGCUUGAAAUGGUCAUAGGGUUUGCAGUGGGGAGUUACUUACAAUAGAUCUGGAGUUCACCAGGGAAGGGGAUGCUUGAAACCUUGGAGGAUGGGAACCUUUAAAUUUCCAUAUAUUUUCUUGGUUAUUUUUUCAACAUUCAUGGAUGCAAAGAAAAUGUUGAAAACAUGAUUCAAAGGCGAAUGAUGCCCAUCUGAAACUGCAGAUAGUCUAAAACAAUAGCUCUAAGAGUAACCAUCCUUUAUAUUCAACAAGGGUCUGUGCCAUAGUUUCAGGUGAUCAGAAGGCUGCUUUCUUGCAUCUUCCAAUGAAGUUUGUCCAGAAGAAUGCCCUGGAUUAUUGCCAAAGGAAGCUGGCAAUGCUUCUUAUUAUGCCUUUUAUACUAUCAAGGAAACAUGAAUGCUUAUUUUAUUAAUAAAACUGAAGUUUCUCUC